rnacentral:rRNA from 1 species
GAUGAACGCUGGCGGCGUGCCUAAUACAUGCAAGUCGAGCGAACAGAUGAGGAGCUUGCUCCUCUGACGUUAGCGGCGGACGGGUGAGUAACACGUGGAUAACCUACCUAUAAGACUGGGAUAACUUCGGGAAACCGGAGCUAAUACCGGAUAAUAUAUUGAACCGCAUGGUUCUAUAGUGAAAGACGGUUUUGCUGUCACUUAUAGAUGGAUCCGCGCCGCAUUAGCUAGUUGGUAAGGUAACGGCUUACCAAGGCAACGAUGCGUAGCCGACCUGAGAGGGUGAUCGGCCACACUGGAACUGAGACACGGUCCAGACUCCUACGGGAGGCAGCAGUAGGGAAUCUUCCGCAAUGGGCGAAAGCUUGACGGAGCAACGCCGCGUGAGUGAUGAAGGUCUUCGGAUCGUAAAACUCUGUUAUUAGGGAAGAACAAAUGUGUAAGUAACUAUGCACGUCUUGACGGUACCUAAUCAGAAAGCCACGGCUAACUACGUG